rnacentral:rRNA from 1 species
CCUACGGGAGGCAGCAGUGGGGAAUAUUGGGCAAUGGGCGCAAGCCUGACCCAGCAACGCCGCGUGAAGGAAGAAGGCUUUCGGGUUGUAAACUUCUUUUGUCAGGGAAGAGUAGAAGACGGUACCUGACGAAUAAGCCACGGCUAACUACGUGACAGCAGCCGCGGUAAUACGUAGGUGGCAAGCGUUGUCCGGAUUUACUGGGUGUAAAGGGCGUGUAGCCGGGUUGACAAGUCAGAUGUGAAAUCCUGCGGCUUAACCGCAGCACUGCAUUUGAAACUGUUGAUCUUGAGUACUGGAGAGGCAGAUGGAAUUCCUAGUGUAGCGGUGAAAUGCGUAGAUAUUAGGAGGAACACCAGUGGCGAAGGCGGUCUGCUGGACAGCAACUGACGGUGAGGCGCGAAAGCGUGGGGAGCAAACAGGAAUAGAUACCCGAGUAGUC